AAAAAUUAAUUACGCCGCAGACAGCAAGCGGACGAUAAGUCCUUAAUCUCUUGCCGAGGUUGUAAGUUCAAAAUAACUUUAAUUGUGUAAUUUUGUCCUUGCGUACCUUUGCGGCGCAGGGUUUUUUAUUUUGA
rnacentral:sRNA from 1 species